rnacentral:rRNA from 1 species
UACGUAGGGCGCAAGCGUUAUCCGGAAUUAUUGGGCGUAAAGAGCUCGUAGGCGGUCUGUCGCGUCUGCUGUGAAAACUCGGGGCUUAACCCCGGGCCUGCAGUGGGUACGGGCAGACUAGAGUGCGGUAGGGGAGACUGGAAUUCCUGGUGUAGCGGUGAAAUGCGCAGAUAUCAGGAGGAACACCGGUGGCGAAGGCGGGUCUCUGGGCAACAACUGA